GGCUGUUCAAUUUCUUGUUUUUAUUUUGAGAUGUUUUCCUGUUUUUGGAAUGGGUGACGACACAGGAGGCGGGUUUGGCAUCGGCUACUCAUUACCUGGAUGAUUUUCUUUUCGUCGGAACCCCGGGAUCAGGUGAGUGUGAGCGGCUAUCACAAGCGUUUCGGGCGGUCACGGGAUAUUUCGGGGUCCCCGUCGCGGAGGCUAAGACGGUGGGCCCCGUUCAGGUUCUGUCCUUUCUGGGGAUAGAGAUCGACUCCAUCGGUAUGGUUUUCCG